UACGUAGGGUUCAAGCGUUAUCCGGAAUCACUGGGCGUAAAGCGUGCGUAGGUGGAUGUUUAAGUGAGAUGCGAAAUUGUGUGGCUCAACCAUACAACUGUAUCUCAUACUGGAUAUCUUGAGGACGGCAGAGGCAAGUGGAAUUACGGGUGUAGCAGUGAAAUGCGUAGAGAUCCGUAGGAACACCGGUGGCGAAGGCGGCGACCUGGUCCGAUGACUGACGCUGGAGGCGCGAAAGCGUGGGGAGCAAACAGG
rnacentral:rRNA from 1 species